CUUCAACCAAAAGCAUAUAAAAAAGCAGUUCUGUAGUAAGCUGCAAAAGUUUGGACAACCAGUAAUCGAAAUAUUUGUUGCUGUCACCUUCUAUCAAGAGCCCACUUUGAACCACAACUGAGAAUAAUGGCCAUUCGCAAGAGUUUCAUUAUCUGCGUCAGCAUCGUUCUGCUGCAACUGAUGCUGCCAACUGACGCAAUGGUUGUCGACAGUGACCUUUUUGGGGAGACUCAAAAUGUCGCUCGCGCCAAACGGGGAAUUGAUAUACCCUGCACCAUCGCGUGCACUGCGUGGUGGACGUGCUGCGCCGGGAGUUUUCCCCGCUGUGCUAACUGUGGAGCGCAACCUGGCGGGUGCCAGUGCAAUGGAUUUGCUUUCUGAGGCGAAUUUGGACCAACCGAAACGUUCACGGCAGAGAGUGGGAUGAACGAACAAGAGUACUCGUAGAUAACCGUUAUUACUACAAUAAUACAUAAAUCAGAUGCAUUUUUAAAUUGUCGUUUCACUGGUGUGUCGAGAAUAGCGUGACGAUUAUGAUGAUUAAAAUUCAAAGGGCCCUUAAAAA